AGAGUUUGAUCAUGGCUCAGAUUGAACGCUGGCGGCAGGCCUAACACAUGCAAGUCGAGCGGAUGACAGGAGCUUGCUCCUGGAUUCAGCGGCGGACGGGUGAGUAAUGCCUAGGAAUCUGCCUGGUAGUGGGGGACAACGUUUCGAAAGGAACGCUAAUACCGCAUACGUCCUACGGGAGAAAGCAGGGGACCUUCGGGCCUUGCGCUAUCAGAUGAGCCUAGGUCGGAUUAGCUUGUUGGUGAGGUAAUGGCUCACCAAGGCGACGAUCCGUAACUGGUCUGAGAGGAUGAUCAGUCACACUGGAACUGAGACACGGUCCAGACUCCUACGGGAGGCAGCAGUGGGGAAUAUUGGACAAUGGGCGAAAGCCUGAUCCAGCCAUGCCGCGUGUGUGAAGAAGGUCUUCGGAUUGUAAAGCACUUUAAGUUGGGAGGAAGGGUUGUAGAUUAAUACUCUGCAAUUUUGACGUUACCGACAGGAUAAGCACCGGCUAACUCUGUGCCAGCAGCCGCGGUAAUACAGAGGGUGCAAGCGUUAAUCGGAAUUACUGGGCGUAAAGCGCGCGUAGGUGGUUUGUUAAGUUGGAUGUGAAAGCCCCGGGCUCAACCCGGGAACUGCAUCCAAAACUGGCAAGCUAGAGUACGGUAGAGGGUGGUGGAAUUUCCUGUGUAGCGGUGAAAUGCGUAGAUAUAGGAAGGAACACCAGUGGCGAAGGCGACCACCUGGACUGAUACUGACACUGAGGUGCGAAAGCGUGGGGAGCAAACAG
rnacentral:rRNA from 1 species